UACGGGGGGAGCAAGCGUUGUUCGGAUUUACUGGGCGUAAAGGGCGCGUAGGCGGCCACCGCAAGUCGACUGUGAAAUCUCCGGGCUUAACUCGGAAAGGUCAGCCGAUACUGCGGGGCUAGAGUGCAGAAGGGGCAACUGGAAUUCUCGGUGUAGCGGUGAAAUGCGUAGAUAUCGAGAGGAACACCUGCGGCGAAGGCGGGUUGCUGGGCUGACACUGACGCUGAUUGUGCGAAAGCGUGGGGAGCGAACAGG
rnacentral:rRNA from 1 species